rnacentral:lncRNA from 1 species
CUGCGAUCCACCUACCUUGGCCUUCCAAAGUGCUGGGAUUACAGGCGUGAGCCACCAUGCCCAGCCGCUUCAUCUUUCUUUACUCAUGAAUGUCCUAAGCUUUGUAUUCACAGCUGUUCUCAUGCAUUCAUUCCAUGCCGGCCUUAGAGGACUCGGUCAAGACAAUGGUGCCCUCAGGAAGGUUACGAGAGAGCAAGCUGUGCUGCUUUGCCCAUCUUGGGAUGAGAAUCCUGCCUGAGCCCUGCUAUAAAAAUAACCUGCCUGGAAACCUCAUCUCCAAGGGGUAGAAAGAAGCUUUUGUAUCCAGGGAAGCUGCUCUAACUGCCUCCCUGUACCUUCGCCUCAGCCCAUGCAUCAAGGAGGAGCCAGCCAAGGUGAUGAGGGGCCAGGGCAAGGGAGAGGGAUGUGUGGGGAGGGAGGAGGGGACGGAAGGGCAGCUCAGCAGCCUCUUGCCCUGAGCACGGCAGAAGCCUCUCACUUGUCUGCUCGACCCAGGAAGAUCCAAAGGAGGAACUGAGGGAGAGAGAGGGAAAGAGGAAGUCAACAAGAGAAAAAAACACUGGAUGUUGAGAGAGACAAGGAGGCCAGGAGACAGAAGAUCAAAUCCAGGACAGAGGAGGGGCAUGGGGAGAGUGGGGAGGAGAGUGAAGUCAAAGGAGAAAGAAAACCAAGAGACGUGUAUGCAGAGACACAGAGCUCAAGGGAUCAGAAAGAGGCUGUGGCCAUGUUUACAGACGUAGCUUAGCAUGUGGUCCCCACCACCAAGGGAGAAAGCAGGCACAGCCAGGCUGUCCCUGCCACCUGCUGGGUUCCUGCUCUGCUGCACAGCCCAGCUUCCACUCUGGCUCAGGCUGUGGCAGAAAAGACAAAGGUCCCCCGAGCACCCACUAUGGCCAGGCCCUGGGUGAGGCAUGAGACCAAGCCCCACUAAGGCUUCUCAAAGUGUUCCUUCCCAGGAGCCAGGCCUGAUGGCACGGAGCAAGUCUGCACUGUCACCAAAUUCAGGAGGCCUGGAUUCAAGUCCCAGUUCUCCUGCUUUUUAGCUGGGUGAUCUUGUACAAACCACUUAGAAUUUCCCAGCCUGGUUCUCUUAUCUGUAAACCAUAAAUAGUAAACCUCCCUGUCUACCUCCCGGGGCUGUUGAGCAGAUCUAUGGAAGCAUAUCUGAACAGGUUCUCCAAGUUGUAUGGUGCCAGCAAGACAAGAGGGAAUGACCCAUUCCUUUAGCCAUAUUUCUCUAGGUAGCCAUCUUAGGAUCAUGGGUGAGCCAUACGGAGAAUGAACCAACAUAGGAAACUCCUAUUACCUCUGUUUUCACAGUAGAGGAAACUGAGGCUUAAACAGGUUAGUAACAUGCUCACCAUCGUGUAUUAAUAGCUCUUAGGCAACAGAACAUGAAUCCAGGUCUCUAUAUUCAGAGUCUGUGUAGACCCAGAGUGCUGGGCCUUCUCUCCAAUCUAAUGGCAGAGGCUGCCCAAGAAUGACCUGGGACAGUCUGCUCCACUUCCUUUAAGGAUGAAUUAAUUUCCAAUUGUUCUAUGCAGGCCAGACCUAUCUCUCCUUGGAGACUGCACAAGCAGGUGAGCAUUAAAGGAAGGCGGGAGGCCAAUUUUUGCCCAGCAUUAGGAAGAACAUUGCUAUUGUUCCAGCAAUGAAGUGAGCUGCCUGAGAGAGUCCGAGCUCUCUGUGGCUGCGAGGCCAGCAGGCCAGGACUUGCAGAGACCACUGGUGCCUAUAGGAGGCACAUGCUGGGCUUGACAAAAGAAAGCCCAACAUUUUAUACCCCUUAAGUCAUCCCCAGCCCAUGCCUUGUUUCCCCAUCCGCACAGUGGUUGGAGCAAGACUAGAUGAAGGCUGAGGUCUUGUCUAGCUCUAACUUUCUAGAAUUCUGGAAUUCCUGAAGGCAGGACUCCAGGCCUCAGGGUCUGGCCAAGAGAACAGAGACGUGGCUGUUUGUCCAGCUUGGUAGAACAGUGGAGCUUAUUGAGCUUGCGGUUCCCUGAAACAGAACCAGUCAAAAGGCAUACGCAGAGAAGGUAAAUUCAUCUGUGGGUCUGGUGAGAGUCACUGAAAAAAAUGUAGUGCUUGAGGACUGUCCAAGGAGAGCCAAUUUUCAACUCAUAGCCUGUGAUGCUGCGCCCAAACAAUGAGAACAGCACACUGGGCUUCAUCCAACCACGGCCAGAGGGAAAACAGUGAUCUUGCAGAUGAUGUCCUCAUCGAUAGCACAGUGACCAAGCGGCCCUGCAUGGUGGGGGCCCCUUAAAAUGGUUCCCCUUCCCUUGCAGGCCUGGUCAGGUGGUGUUUGUAAAGCAAAGGGAACCCUUUUAGA